UCAUUUCCUCUAGACUUUUUUUUGCUCAUAAUUUUCUACAAAGAGUAACCUCUAUGCCUUCUAUCAGUGCAUUCUUAGUACAAAAAUGAUGGUGAGUACCUGAAUCUUCUAUAGUAAUGAACAAGUUAAGUAUAGAGCAGCACCAAAUAUUGUGAGCUACACCAUGUUUCCUGGGUUUGGGGUCUUAGAGGCUGUUUGGGCAGUCAGGUCUUGUUUUCUUAGGACUUCAGGCUAUGGUGGAUACAGCUGCUUGCAGUGGUAUUGAGCUUGCUGGGGCUUCAUUUUUGUCCUUCAUGUCAAGAGGAGAUAGGCUUCUGUCCAUCAUAACCUCCCUUGUCCUCUCUGCUGGGAUACAAGCACUUAAAACAAAGCUCCCUGGUAGCUUUUUUUAAAAUUAAGAACACCCUAACCCACCAAAACUUUUCUAUUACUUUCCCAGAAUUGCCAUGAUUUCUCCCUACAUUGCUCCAAUAUGUAGUGCUUUCUCCAGUCCUGUUGCAGCAUUUUAAUAGAAAGAAGGAGCAGUGAUACUAUGAGCUGUUUUGGAACCCCCACCUUUAGGUUUAAAAAGUAGAUGGCAUUUUUAUCUCAAAUAUGACACUGCUUGAAAAAUAGCUGUGCUCUGAAAAACUUCAUUCUUUCCCUUAAAUGACAGGAUGUGAAUAUCUCUGAAGGUUUCUAGACACUGAAAUGGUAUAUGCACUGUAACUAAGCUAUAAUGAUAACAAAAAAGCUGCUUUCCAAAAGGGCAAGUGGAGGACAGGGCAAAAGCCUUUUAAGAUUUGUUAGUUCAUACUAAACCACUUGCCCAUCAUUCUUUUGUUGCCUUUGAAAAUGGCUAUUGUUCUGAUGUGCAGGGGUAGCGGCACUUGUGUCAUGAUGCCCUUGGGCAGUUGUGAGUUGCAGUGAAUUGCCAGCCACGGGAGGAAGAAAACAUCUUUUAAAACUCUGUGCUCAUUAUGUUUCUUGUGGCAGUGUAAAAGGCUUCUGAUGCCUCCCCUUUCCUCCAGGAGUUCUCAGGAAUAACUGCUGAUAUGCUGGCAUCUUAGGAGCAACUCUACUUUUCUUUCUGUUACCUGGAUAAGGAGGCUCCCUUGCCAGUGGGGCAGUGUUCAGUGCCCAAAACAGAGAGUAUUCAGUAAAUCCUGGUUCCUGGACAUCCUUUCAUUUUAUUUCUGUAGAGGGCAGAAACUCCUUCCUUCAGGCUCCUUACAGGCAAACACAAAUAAGAAGAUACCACCUGAGAUUUAUAAGCUAUCCUUAUUUAGAUACCCACUUCAUAUCUCAGAAAUCAGCAAUGGGAAGCUUGAGUAUUCAGUGCUAUUAACGCUGAACCUCUUCUGCAUUCAGAUCUGUGUCUGAGUGAGAACCCACCAACCUCAGCCAAGUCUGACACCACAGACCUGAAGCUGGAAAGAUGUUUUAAAUAUUUGAGCAUUCCCUUGAUUCUCACAGGAGUGUGCCUUUUGAGAUCAGGUGUAAAAAGGCAUCCAGAGUUAUCAUCUGUAUCUGUUUCCUUGCUGAUGCCUCUCACAGGGAUGAGACUGCUCUUUCAGACAGCUGUAUGACUGCAGCCUCAGUGUCAUCUCAGCUCAUGGUGGCCGUGGAGGCACUGUUACCAACAGGAGCCAGGAAUAGCUUGCAUUGUAGCUACUGCACAAAAAAACUGCUUUGUGCUUUUCACUGACAAGAUCUUCAUAGGCUGUGGCCCAGAGAAAUGUGCUGAGCUCCUUCUCUUCACCACUUUAAACGUUGUGGGGCAUGUCUUGUGGCUCUCAGACAGGGAGAGGAGAGAAGGCUGCAGAAGCCAUCCUCUUUCCUUCAGCUGACAGUGAAAAGCAGAUUUCUUGAUUGUAUGCAAAGGAUAUUGGAAAUGAUAAACUACAGUGGAAUUAUUCAAGAUGUGGGGUAAUCUUUAAGCAGAAAAUACACUGGCAGGCCUUGCUUGAAGCUGCAGAUACAUUUCUGAUUUUCAGAAGGAAACCCAGUAUUGGAAAUUGGCUGUGUUUCUUUGGAAGGCAGAGACUGUGCUGAGCCACAGAACAGCAUGCUUUGAUCUUACAGCUAAGUACCGUGCUCUGACCCUGCUGGGAAGCAGUGUUUGGGAUUGAGGUAGCAGCUCCUUUUUGGACAAUGCUGUGAGUACCAUCUUGUGGACUCUGAGCUCCUGACCACCUGUGGCAUAAGCUGAGCUCAUCUACACUGCUGAUUACUUCAUUUUUGCCUGAUUUACGCAGCUUGGCAGCCGUACUUUCUGCUACCUUCAACCGCAAGAGAGACUUGUGUGGGCUAAUGCAUCCAGGUGUACACAGAAAUCCCACGCAGUGCAAAUACUUAGCAAAGUAAAUAUAGCCAGAAGCUUCCUUAA